rnacentral:tRNA from 1 species
AAGGGUAUACCUCCAGUGGUAGAGUGCAUGCCUAGCAUGCAAGAGGUCCUGGGUUCAAUCCCCAGUACCUCCA